rnacentral:rRNA from 1 species
CGGCGGACGGGUGAGUAACGCGUGGGUAACCUGCCUCAUACAGGGGGAUAACAGUUAGAAAUGACUGCUAAUACCGCAUAAGCGCACAGGACCGCAUGGUCCGGUGUGAAAAACUCCGGUGGUAUGAGAUGGACCCGCGUCUGAUUAGCUGGUUGGUGAGGUAACGGCCCACCAAGGCGACGAUCAGUAGCCGACCUGAGAGGGUGGCCGGCCACAUUGGGACUGAGACACGGCCCAAACUCCUACGGAAGGCAGCAG